UCCGGUUGAUCCUGCCGGACCUGACUGCUAUCGGAUUGAUACUAAGCCAUGCGAGUCAUUGUAGCAAUACAAGGCAUACGGCUCAGUAACGCGUAGUCAACCUAACCUAUGGACGGGAAUAACCUCGGGAAACUGAGAAUAAUGCCCGAUAGAACAUUAUGCCUGGAAUGGUUUAUGUUCCAAAUGAUUUAUCGCCGUAGAUGGGACUGCGGCCUAUCAGUUUGUUGGUGAGGUAAUGGCCCACCAAGACUAUUACAGGUACGGGCUCUGAGAGGAGUAGCCCGGAGAUGGGUACUGAGACACGGACCCAGGCCCUAUGGGGCGCAGAGGCGAGAAAACUUUGCAAUGUGCGAAAGMGACAAGGUUAAUCCGAGUGGUUUCUGCUAAAGGAACCUUUUGUCAGUCCUAGAAACACUGAUGAAUAAGGGGUGGGCAAGUUCUGGUGUCAGCCGCCGCGGUAAAACCAGCACCUCAAGUGGUCAGGAUGAUUAUUGGGCCUAAAGCAUCCGUAGCCGGCUCUGUAAGUUUUCGGUUAAAUCUGUACGCUCAACGUACAGGCUGCCGGAAAUACUGCAAAGCUAGGGAGUGGGAGAGGUAGACGGUACUCGGUAGGAAGGGGUAAAAUCCUUUGAUCUAUUGAUGACCACCUGUGGCGAAGGCGGUCUACCAGAACACGUCCGACGGUGAGGGAUGAAAGCUGGGGGAGCAAACCGGAUUAGAUACCCGGGUAGUCCCAGCUGUGAACCAUGCAAACUCAGUGAUGCAUUGGCUUGUGGCCAAUGCAGUGCUGCAGGGAAGCCGAUAAGUUUGCCGCCUGGGAAGUACGUACGCAAGUAUGAAACUUAAAGGAAUUGGCCGGGGAGCACCACAAGGGGUGAAGCUGCGGUUCA
rnacentral:rRNA from 1 species